GGAGAGUAAAGGAUGUCAUGAUUCCGAUGAAUUCUUCUUUUGCUAAUUCAAAGUUGCAUUUCCCAGUUUUUCGAUAAUCACUUCUGAUUGCAUCCUUUAGGUAAAUAAUUGCCUGGUUUAAUCAAUUUAAAUUAGAAAUUCUUGCAUCAAUGAUCAAAUUGAUGAGCACAUUUUACAUCGACAUAAACAUUUCUUGAUUUCGGUGUCAUCAAACUGAUGCAGUCCGAUACCACCUUGCAUCGAGAAUUUGGAAAGGAAUCAAGUUUAGCUCGUGCUGUUGGAAUUCCAUGUGGCUUUUAACUUACCGAUCACGGAAUUGAUUAGUGGGUGAUUGAUUGGCGUCACGACGUAAGUGAAGAGAGUGGACGUGUAGGCCUGGACGAAGAUGAAAGCGGCCAGGCACCAAACGCCAGCGACUAGUCGAUAAGGUAGUCGUUUCGAUGGACAGGCACCGCCUAAUUAUAAUAACAAUUUGACUUUUGUCUCCCUGUUAUUCACUCAAAAAAACUUGUAAGAUCGAAAAACCUUGUGAUACUAAAUUGCCAACAACGUAGAGAUAUGGUUUUUCGGUUUUUGUUUUCGUUCCACGAAGUUGCCCAUCGUUCGUCAACCCUCCAGUCUGUGGUUUAUUGUUAGGUUCAAAUCCUGUCCCGGAAGCAGAUUCCAAGUAGCGCUGGAUUAAAUCUAAAACUGCGAUGACGCAAACGAUUGAUAUUCCUACUCCCAGCCAAAUCUGUUGAUUAAAGAGUGGACGCUGUUGAACACGAAAAAGAAUAUUAACUAACUCGGGAUUACGAACCGGCCAUUGAAAUGGUUUGACGACGGCGUUGAUGUUGGCCGAAUCAUCAGUGACGGGAAUGAGGAAUUUGAUGUGAUCGUAAGCCCAAGAUGACGCGGAGGUGUUGGCCAUUCAGCGGAUUUGGCGUCGAGUAGGAGUCGCGAAUAGAAAUGGUGAACCAAAUGAACAAUAAAAAGAAAGGAUGGGACGGUUGGAUUCGUCAGGAGUUUAUAGGCCAUCAUCAUCACGGAGCAAAGCGGUUGACCACAAAUGGUAGUACUUCAGUUUAGGCAUAGGUAUCAGAUUGUUUAUUUAGGAACGCUGUCGUGGGCUCCACGAAAAUGUCAGUUGCUGUUUGGGUCGUUGACAGGUAAUUCUUAAAUCGCGUGAAUAUGGCCUCGUGUUUAGGUAUCCUGCAAGAGCUUUGCAUUUCCAUGAAUUAUUUCCAGAUGAUGGAUGCCAAGUGAACAGGACUAUUGGUAGAUUUCGCUUCAAAGCCAAUAGCUAACAUUGUACUAGUAGUUCUGUGUAAUAGAUCAGCAAGCGUAGGAAAGUUGGUAAGAGAAUAGACAGGUGCAAUUUUUCAGGUCUACUCUCACGAAUCGUGUAAUUGAGUCAAUCGAAUUACUUUACCUAGAGCUCUUCAGUAUUGCCCAACUUGUUUUUUUUAUUCCCAAUCAGAAGAUUUAACAGAAAUUACACAAUUACACCUUCAUGUGCGAUGUAAUGAAAAGUUCCAACUAGGUAGUCAACGUUCGACCGAUGCUAGGAGCGACAGCCACUAGCCAAAUAAAUCAAAAAUUCAGAAUAACGCGAGUUAAUUUUUAUGGAGAAUUGUUUGUCGUGCCAUUGAUCUGUUUUCGCAAAUUUUCAACUGUAGUUGUAACAUUGGCCAACUGCUUUUUGAUGAUUCCAAUCUCGGUGUGCGCCCGAGCCAAAUCGACUUUCGCGUCUGUAAAGAGUUGAGAUCGCGAUUUAUCUGCUGCAUUUCGGGUUAAAUUUGUUGUUUAUUUGCUUCUUACCCAACAUCGCCCCCACGAAUGCUGUCCAGAGAGAUCCUAACGUGUUUAAUGUAAUCUGAACGUCUUGGACAGAAAACUGCCUCUGAUUGCUCAUGAUUUGAAUGAUUUCCGAGAUCGUCUGGGGUUGGGCCUCCUCCUUUACGGAGGAAGGAUUACCUUUGUUCAAACCGGUCGGUAGCUGAGCAGAGGCCAACAAAACGUAGGCCAUCAAAGGCACAAAGACUACAAUAAUCUAAAUGUUUGGUUCAGUAAGAAAUACAGGUGGAACAGCACUGACGCGUACGAACAGUUAACUUGUAACAAUCUAAAUUGACUUACCGAGUGCUCCAUGGUUUGUUGAUUGACGAGGAUUGAUGAACAACUGAGGAGAUGGUCUUCUUUAUAUAGUGCGGGUUAUGCCAUGGUUUAUUCGAUAAUUAAAAUCAGCUGGAAGACAGGUUACGCAAAUGUGUCACGACACAUGCAAUAUUCCAUUUACGUGCUAUCUGAACGAACUGAUGAAAUUGUCCAUUUAAAAACUCGCAAAUUGAUCCACACGCAAUUUGCUUUAAAUGGAAGGAAAUUUUUAUCAAUUCAGAAUUAAAUUUAAGUUUUAAUUUAAUUGAUGUCUUUUAAUUGAUUUUCCUUUUAGGUACGAUUGAAGUUAAGCCGUGGCAAUGUUUUCGAUGUGCGAUUUGGUCACCGUUUUUGCGUCAUCUUUUUAAAUCGACGCAAGUGCUGCAGGCGCUGGGUUUCGUAAAUUCAAAUUCAAUUAUCCAAUCGUCUCUUGAAAUCCAAUCGUUGCAAUUGAAAUGGACUAAGCUACCGGGUCUCGUGCUCCGUCAGGCACAUUUUUUUCUUCUGUGGUGUAUUCUGGAUAGAAAAUCAAGUUGCAGGAAUAUGAAAUUGAACGCAAUUAAAUCGUUGAAUUUUGUUUUCUUUACGAGUUUGAAAUUCGCGCUGUAGUUGUGACAGGAUGUCAGACUGCCAGACUUCCCUCAGUUUCAAAGUGAAUUUGAGUUUGUUUUGAAAUCAGUGCCAAAGUGGGACCACCGUCAGCGGCUGCAGCCGCGCUAGUGAUCACGCAAUGACGCGAGUGGUUUUAUUUUUCAAGUGAUCCAAUCUAACUUUUUGUUAUUUCCUUUAUAGCUUUGCCGCUCUUCGUUCUUUCCCGUAAGGUUACUGCAACUACAAGCGUCAGCGGCCAAAUUACCAUCGCCUGAAAUCUUGGACAAAGGGAGGGAGAGCUUCAUUCGAAGUGUCAAGUCCAGCACCGUUCUAAUAGCCAGAAAGUUACGACUAAGUGCAACAUUCUUCAAAGUACAGCAGUUGCUUUGUGCAAAGCGUGAAUCUUGUCUUGUCUUUUGAGAACACAGCACAUGGUCACAUUUAGCUAUCAAUCAAAGGCACUUGCUACCGGAAUUCUCCACAAACGGAAUUGUCAGCCCGGUUAAAUGGAAGCUGUUUGGCUGUUUGCUGUUUUAUGCAGAUCAUUUUUACUUGCCACCUUGCUAACUGCAUAAAUUGGGAAAGCUGCCUUAUUUGCACAUUUACAGCAGCUUGUUAGUUGUUUUUGCUUUAUGUCUGAUUUGUUCAUAGUUUUUCCCACUGUUUGUUUGUUUGAGGUAUGACUAAAAUCGCCUGUGGUGUCGCAGUCCGAUGUGCUGAUGUUGAUGCCUGCCUAUUCCCUGGUUUAAGAAGUACUUAGACAAAAUCGAUUUUACGAUGGUGGUUAUCUUUCCGUUUUUGUUUCGUGUUCUCAUUAAGUGUGUUCUCUAUGUGUCGCUAUGCAAGUGAUUUGAGCAAGAUGUUUGUUUUGUUUGUUACAUUCGCGUCUUCUCGGUAGAAUUUAUUAUGGGUUAGUUCAAAUGAGAAUGGAAAAUUAUUGCGACAUGUUAAUAUGAGACAAGUUCGUAUGAAGCACUUAUCUAUAUGAUAAUGGGUGUAAUAAACUAAGUUACGCUUAAAAAAUUACUUGAUCUUGCGCGUAAUAACCUAGAAUAUGUGGUAGGUGGGAAACUGGGAAUGUGAGAUAAAAUUACAUGUUAAUGGUAAGAAACCAUUUGAGCAUUUUGAUGUAUGUAAUAAAAUUUGCCGCAA